rnacentral:rRNA from 1 species
UUCGCCGCUUAUCGCAAGCCGAAAUCCGAAUACGGAAGUUAAGCUCUCGCGCCGAUGGUAGUUGGGGGUCUCCCCCUGUGAGAGUAGGACGUUGCCAGGC